rnacentral:rRNA from 1 species
AUACGGAGGAUGCGAGCGUUAUCCGGAUUUAUUGGGUUUAAAGGGAGCGUAGGUGGGAUAUUAAGUCAGCUGUGAAAGUUUGGGGCUCAACCUUAAAAUUGCAGUUGAUACUGGUUUCCUUGAGUACGGUAUAGGUGGGCGGAAUUCGUGGUGUAGCGGUGAAAUGCUUAGAUAUCACGAAGAACUCCGAUCGCGAAGGCAGCUCACCGGGCCGGAACUGACACUGAUGCUCGAAAGUGCGGGUAUCAAACAGGAUUAGAUACCCUGGUAGUCGGCACAGUAAACGAUGAAUACUCGCUGUUUGCGAUACACUGUAAGCGGCCAAGCGAAAGCGUUAAGUAUUCCACCUGGGGAGUACGCCGGCAACGGUGAAACUCAAAUGAAUUGGCGGGG